CGCUGUUUAAGCAUAUCACUGAGCGCAGGAGAAGAAACUAACCAGGAUUUCCCUAGUAACGGCGAGCGAACCGGAAAGAGCCCAGCUUGAAAAUCGUGGCGCCCCGGCGCCUCGAAUUGUAGUCUGGAGAAGGUCCCUCUGCGGCGCGCCGGACCCAAGUUCCCUGGAAAGGGACGCCAUCGAGGGUGAGAGCCCCGCUGAUUCCGGAGUGCGCCGCUCCACGAGGACCUGUCUGCGAGUCGGGCUGUUUGGGAAUGCAGCCCUAAGCGGGUGGUAAAUUCCAUCCAAGGCUAAAUAUUGGCAAGAGACCGAUAGCGAACAAGUACCGCGAGGGAAAGAUGAAAAGGACUUUGAAAAGAGAGUUAAAAAGUGCUUGAAAUUGCUGGGAGGGAAGCGAAUGGAAGCUGCGGGUGCGCCCCGGUUGGAUGUGGAACGGCUGUCAAAAGCUGGUCCGCCGCUCAACGCGGGGCGCUGGUCAGCGUGGGCCAUCGCGGCGGGACAAGAGCGGGGAUUCGCUUCCCGCCGAUGCCGCUGCGGUGGCCGAGGAACGAAGCGCGCGCUCUUCAUGGGCGUGGGACUUGUCCCAACUGCGCGCUCGGGACGCUGGCGUAUUGAGCUCUUCAUCCGACCCGUCUUGAAACACGGACCAAGGAGUCUAACAUGUAUGCGAGCCGGUGGGCGGCAAACCCAUUGAGGCGCAAGUAACCUGACAGGUGGGACCCCGACCGCAAGGGAGGGAGCACCAUCGACCGACCGUGAUCUUCUGUGAAGGGUUCGAGUGUGA
rnacentral:rRNA from 1 species